rnacentral:rRNA from 1 species
CCAGACUCCUACGGGAGGCAGCAGUGGGGGAUAUUGCACAAUGGGGGAAACCCUGAUGCAGCGACGCCGCGUGAGUGAAGAAGUAUUUCGGUAUGUAAAGCUCUAUCAGCAGGGAAGAAAAAAGACGGUACCUGACUAAGAAGCCCCGGCUAACUACGUGCCAGCAGCCGCGGUAAUACGGAGGAUGCGAGCGUUAUCCGGAUUUAUUGGGUUUAAAGGGUGCGUAGGCGGACUGGAAAGUCAGCGGUAAAAUCGAGAGGCUCAACCUCUUUCCGCCGUUGAAACUGUCGGUCUUGAGUGGGCGAGAAGUAUGCGGAAUGCGUGGUGUAGCGGUGAAAUGCAUAGAUAUCACGCAGAACUCCGAUUGCGAAGGCAGCAUACCGGCGCCCGACUGACGCUGAGGCACGAAAGCGUGGGUAUCGAACAGGAUUAGAUACCCCGGUAC